rnacentral:rRNA from 1 species
UACGUAGGGGGCAAGCGUUAUCCGGAUUUACUGGGUGUAAAGGGAGCGUAGGCGGUUCAGCAAGUCAGAAGUGAAAGCCCGGGGCUCAACUCCGGGACUGCUUUUGAAACUGUUGAACUAGAUUGCAGGAGAGGUAAGUGGAAUUCCUAGUGUAGCGGUGAAAUGCGUAGAUAUUAGGAGGAACACCAGUGGCGAAGGCGGCUUACUGGACUGUAAAUGACGCUGAGGCACGAAAGCGUGGGUAGCAAACAGG